UAGAAAAACUCAAAAAAAGUUUCAAGCAUUAGAAAAAAAUGUAAACAAAUUUCAAAAAUUGGAAAAUUUUGUCCUACUGUACAACAUUUUGGGUCAAACUUCAGCAAGAGUAUAUAAGAGGUCGUUUGAUGACCACAGGACACGCAGAACAGGACACGCGUGUCCUGUUUAGUAAAUUUCUUCAUCAAACGUUGGACAGAAGACAUGGUGGACAGAACGGACGGUUGAGCGAAGGUAUAAAUAAAUUUUUUGUCCCAGUCUGUUCCGAGCUAACCCGAAAUUCGUCUCCUGCCCCCGAAGACCCCGAGCCCUCGACCUCUGCCCCCAUCUCCUUCUCCCCGAGCCCUCAACCUCUGCCCCCAUCUCCUUCUCCUCCACCUCCGCCUCCACCUCCCCUGCCUUUCUCCUCUUCUCCACCCCCGACCUUACUUUCUCCUCCAUCUCCGCCCUCAUCUACGCCCCCGAGCUGCCCUAGCCGUCACCCUGUAGCCCCUUCUUGUCUCUCCAUCUUCCUGUGAAUUUCGAGGUAGCCAUGGAAGGUUGCAAGUUCAGUGGGGGCACAGCGAAGGCUAACCUGAUUCUCUCCACAUGCAUCCUUCAAAGGGCGUGGACCUCCAUCUCCGAGCUCCAACAAUCGGGCAAACUCCCCUCCAUCGUCAACGAUCGUUUCCGCAGCUUCACAAUCGUAGCUUUUAAUGACUUGCAGAACCAGACGCAAGACCUCCACCUCCUCUCACCCAUUCUUGCUCCCCUGCAGCCAACCCAUCCCAACUUCGGUUUCCUCAUCAGCAAGGACAAUCCCUCCAUCUCCCUCCACGCCUCCCCUCUCUCCACCUUCCUCCGCCUCCUCUGCACCACCGACCUCAAAGCCCAGUCCGCAGCAACUAUGGGGAGAACCACUGUAGUCCUUCCACCAUUUUUCUUCUGCAACUGUUCUCUUCAAGUAGUCUUCUUGAACAAAGAAUUCUGUUACAAUGUAAAAAAUUAGGCUUUUCUUCUGACUUACGGCAGUAUGCUUCUUGUGACUGGCAAAGAAAUUUGGGGUUAAUGAGUCUAGAAUUAUGUUUCCAAAGUUGUAGCAGAGGAAGUUUAAAGGACAGUUUGGCCAUGGUUGGGGAAAAGAGAACGUUAGGUUAACAACAUCUAAUUGCAAAGCAUGGCCUUGAAAUUUUAAGUGGCCUUUUACUUUUAACCAGUCUUCACCAGGAACACGUCUCAGUGUGUAUUAUACAUUCUCCCAAGCACAUGGCUAAUGGAUUCAACUUCAUUUUCAAACUGAAGGAGAAAGUUCAAAACCCAUGCUGCCUCUCUUGGAAAAUCUUGUUGAUGCCUGCCAAAAGUAAACUUCUUGUUGAUAGAAAGCAAGAUUGUUAUCUUGCUACUAACAUCACAAGGAGCUGACAAAAAAUGUCUUUACAAGCAGAUUUCAAAAGGAGGGAAGCAGAAGUUGGGAACAGACGCCUGACCUACAACACAACACCGACAUUAUGUCAUGAACGGCAGCUGUUCCAUUCUCCAACUUUAUUUCUAAAGAACCAAAUUGGUAUUGCAUUAUGUUAAACCUCUUUGUCCUUAUGUACUGCACAAGAAACUUACGGGAUUUAGAAGUGAAACACUUGUAUUUGUACUUUGCUUUUACAGUCGAUGUAAUAAUCCUUGCUUCAUCUAUCAGAUACUUUUGUAAUUGUUUGAUACUUGUUAAUACUUGUUAACAUUGAUAGAGAAAAUUGUGAAAUGUCCGUUUUUGUA